UACGUAGGGGGCAAGCGUUAUCCGGAUUUACUGGGUGUAAAGGGAGCGUAGACGGCAAUGCAAGUCUGGAGUGAAAGGCGGGGGCCCAACCCCCGGACUGCUCUGGAAACUGUUUUUCUUGAGUACUGGAGAGGCAGACGGAAUUCCUAGUGUAGCGGUGAAAUGCGUAGAUAUUAGGAGGAACACCAGUGGCGAAGGCGGUCUGCUGGACAGCAACUGACGCUGAGGCGCGAAAGCGUGGGGAGCAAACAGG
rnacentral:rRNA from 1 species